rnacentral:lncRNA from 1 species
UUAAUAAAUACAGCAAAGGGAAAGACCCAAAUAGUGGGUGCAGCUAAAUUUAAAUUUAGGCAAAAUGCUUAAGAAAAUUAAUUAAAAAAAAAAAAAAAAAGGAGAAAAGAGAAAAUGAGGAGGGGGGAAAAAUCUUAAAUUUCUUAGGAAACUGAAAUAAUUUGGCAUGUGACACUAGUGACUAUCUUUUACAAAAAGUUAAAACUAUACUGCUCUCUGGAAGUACUGCAACUUGGAAAUCUAUGUAUUCCCUAAAACUUAUCAAGAUUGUGCAAGUAGGUAUUCUUGUGCCUGGUUAAAGAGUUGCCUUACCCAACUAAAUCAAGACCACAGCAGCUCUAUCCUCUUCUCUGGCUGUAUUUUAAGAGAAAAAUAGAACUGAUACAGUAAUGAAUAAAACAGCCCAGGACAGGUUUUGUUAAAAAGGAGUGGACGCAGCCCUGACAGGGGAACUCCAGCUGUGAAAGACAUCAUUGUGUCUCCCUGACUCCCUUUGGCUGCUCCCAACACACAACACCUUGUCUCCCCUUUCCUCCCGCUCUGCUCCUGCUCCUGCCACACCUCCUCCCUCACACUAGCCUUGGUUUUCACUGAAGUAGUUUGCAACUUCAACUCACUGAAGUCAAGGAAAACUGUCAUUCUUUACUGGCUGGUUUAGUUUUCUUCCAGAAUAGUGAACAAAAUUAGUUCCAGAGGAGCCCAAAGAGCUGCAGAACAGAUGGAAAGUGCAUGUCAGGAGUGGAGAAAAGACCAGUAAAAAAGAGAAGUUUUUCUUUUGUCAGAAAUGCAAGGAUUUGACUGCCUUACCUCAUGUCAGGUUUUCAAAGUUAUUGAGGCAUUUGAAAAUGAAGAUCAACCACAGCAAGACUGAAAAAUGUGCUUGAACAUCCUGAAUUUCUACACUGCUACUGAGAAAUGUCUGACAAACGUGUUUAUCUGAAUCCUUAAGCAUCUGACGCAGGGAAAGAAGUUGAACUCAGUGGUCCUGAUGGGUCCCCUUCCAGCACAGCAUAUUUUGUGAUUCUGUGACUUCUUUAUAUUUCUGUAAAAUAACCCUCUGUUUUGGACCUGAAACACAUUUUAAAUGUAUUUGCUUUGUGUGUUUCUCAGAUAGCUGGGCAGUGGUGUGCCCAGUGGAUGUAACACAGUACAUUUUACAAAUCUACUUAUAAAUGGCACAAAAAACAGAAGAAAAGGAGCUCAUGAUGACCAUAGUUCUUAUAGGCAGUUGUGUUCUCUUUCUGUC